CUCCCCUCCUCUGACAACAAUCCUCACGACCACAGAGGAACCAAUAACCUCCCCUCCUCUGACAACAAACCUCACAACCACAGAGGAACCAACAAGCUCUCCUCCUCUAACAACAAACCUCACAACCACAGCGGAACCAACAACCUCCCCUCCUCUGAUAAUAAACCUCACAACCACAGAGGAACCAACAACCUCCCCUCCUCUGAUAAUAGACCUCACAGCCACAGAGGAACCAACAACCUCCCCUCCUCUGACAAUAAACAUCACAACAACAGAGGAACCAACAACCUCCCCUCCGCUGACAAUAAAUCUCCCAACAUCAGUGGAGCCAACAACCCCCCCUCUUCUGACAACAAACCUCACGACCACACAGAUUGCACCUGCACUUCCAACUACCACCCAAAAACUACUGAACUCACAACCACACCCACAAAUGUCAGUACGUACACACCCACAACUACCACAGCAUCCACAACUACCACAGCACCCACAACUACCACAGCACCCACAACUACCACAGCACCCACAACUACCACAGCACCCACAACUACCACAGCACCCACAACUACCACAGCACCCACAACUACCACAGCACCCACAACUACCACAGCACCCACAACUACCACAACUACCACAGCACCCACAACUACCACAGCAUCCACAACUACCACAGCACCCACAACUACCACAGCACCCACAACUACCACAGCACCCACAACUACCACAGCACCCACAACUACCACAGCACCCACAACUACCACAGCACCCACAACUACCACAGCAUCCACAACUUUAAGUACACACCCAACCACCGAUCUCACAACCCAUAUUGUGGACGGUACAACAACGAGCAGUGGGCCUAGAUACGUUGUUGUACUGAGGAUAAAACUGUCCUCUCUGAUCCCACUAACAGAUGACUACAUCAGAAAUGUGGUUUUACAGCAGCUCCGUGAGGAACUGAUCAGACAAGGGCUGCCAGGGGACUUCGCGCUACGCCUGAGAGCCACUCAUGGGAUCAGUUCCUGAGGGAGGAACAGGAAUUCAGAUCAACAUUCUUCACUCCUACUUGUCUUGUCUUCCUGGUUCUGAUUCUGCAGAAAGUUCUUCUGAAGAAGAAGUGGUUCCUUAUAAUGACAGAAUAUGGUUGAUUUGUACUAAUCUCUUGGGACAGACGCACGUAACAUGAAUUAUGAUUUUUGUUCUGGAUUGCCAGGAUUAGUUGAAUGGACUGACAGUGCUUCUGACUGGAUGUUAGUUGAAUGACUAACAUGACUGGGGUUCUUUACUGUUUGGUAACAUACAGAGGUAGACUGGGGUUCUUUCCUGUUUGGUAAUGUACAGAGGUAGACUGGGGUUCUUUCCUGUUUGGUAACGUACAGAGGUAGACUGGGGUUCUUUCCUGUUUGGUAAUGUACAGAGGUAGACUGGGGGUCUUUACUGUGUCAAGAAUGGUUGGUUGAGGCUCAGUUUUCUGUGACAUUUUAGUGACAGAGGACACCGGUAGGGAGGACCCACUUGUAAACACCCACACACACUCAGGAAGACGUUUCACUUUCACUCACACAUGGAGCAUAAAGAGGAAUGAACAAUGAGGUUGAAUUGACACUGACGAAAGAGAAGAAGAAAUGAAUUGACACUGACUAAAGAGAAGAAGAAAUGAAUUAACACUGACUAAAGAGAAGAAGAAAUGAAUUGACACUGACUAAAGAGAAGAAGAAAUGAAUUGACACUG
ensembl:lncRNA